rnacentral:rRNA from 1 species
GAUGAACGCUAGCGGCAGGCUUAAUACAUGCAAGGCGAAGGGGCGGCAAUGUCACUGUCGUACGGGUGCGUAACGCGUAUGCAACCUACCUUAAUCUGGGGGAUAGCCUCUCGAAAGAGAGAUUAACACCGCAUAACAUUAUCGGAUAGCAUUUUCUGAUAAUCAAAUAUUUAUAGGAUUAAGAUGGGCAUGCGGAACAU